rnacentral:misc_RNA from 1 species
AACGCACAUUGCGCCCCGUGGUAUUCCGGGGGGCAUGCCUGUUCGAGCGUCAUUACACCAAUCAAGCACAGCUUGGCAUUAGGUCUUUCGUCCGCGGUCACACGCGGGCGGGCCCCAAAACCUUCGGCGGAGUCAAUCCGGCUUCGGGCGUAGCAGAAUCUGUUAAAACGUCCGUGUGGCCGGGGGGUCUUCAGCCGUCAAACCAUAUAUUUUUCAAGGUUGACCUCGGAUCAGGUAGGAAUACCCGCUGAACUUAA